UGGGGGAUAUUGCACAAUGGGCGAAAGCCUGAUGCAGCGACGCCGCGUGGGGGAUGAAGGCCUUCGGGUUGUAAACUUCUUUUGCUCUGAACAAGGCAUGCUAAUGGGUGUGUUGAGUGUAGGGGUUGAUUAGCGCCGGCUAACUACGUGCCAGCAGCCGCGGUAAUACGUAGGGCGCGAGCGUUGUCCGGAAUUAUUGGGCGUAAAGGGCUUGUAGGUGGCUGGUUGCGUCUGUCGUGAAAGCUCAUGGCUUAACUGUGGGUUUGCGGUGGGUACGGGCUGGCUUGAGUUCAGUAGGGGAGGCUGGAAUUCCUGGUGUAGCGGUGGAAUGCGCAGGUAUCAGGAGGAAUACCGGUGGCGAAGGCGGGUCUCUGGGCUGUUACUGACACUGAGGAGCGAAAGCAUGGGGAGCGAACAGG
rnacentral:rRNA from 1 species